UCACUGGUGGGAAGUGAGCAUUAUAUCCAACAUCAUUAUAUUCAACAUCUAUAACAUGUUGAGUUUCAGAUGCCUCCAUUGGGGUACAGGUUAAGGCAAGGGAGUGUUCUUCCAGAAGCUGGAGAAUAACAAUACUUGGAUAUACAACGGAGAGUCCUUUCUAUUCAAAGCAGGGAUGCGAGGGGAAACAAGCAGAGAGGCAAUCUAACCAAAUCCAGAGACACCACAAGGACACUAGGAGAGACAGGAGGAAAGGCAAGGUAAGUGGAUGGCAAAACAAUCGUCACAAGGAACAUACAAAGGUUAAGAAGAAGCAACAACAAUCUGGUGAAGACUGAAUGAAUGAACAGCUUGAUGAAGGACUGAUCACGAGGAACAUACAGGUGGAAUGACCAGAACUGAUUUUAAGGCCACGCCUCCAGGUGCACCUCGCCAGAUCAAAGAGAUUCACUCACCUGAGAAAAGACAGGAGAUUGAUAGAGAGAGAAGGGUGGAGGAAAGAAAGCAGGAGGAAGGUUAGCAGACAGACCAUGGCAACCAGGCAGUUUUGUGCCUCUUGUUAUUUAAACGUAAAUGCUGUUCUGUCAUUCUUCUUUUCUCACUAAUUUGUGUAAUCCACUUCUUCCCCAUCUCGACCUUAUCUCAGAGACAGUCGACCAUCUCCAAGUCUUUAAAACCACCACUGUUUAGAGUCUGAGGUAGACUCUGAAGUCUAUUUCACACCAGUGUUGGGAUCAAUGCUCUUUGUGGGAGGCAAAUCGUCAAAUUCCUUACGAUUCAAGUUUAUCCAUAAAUAAUUUUCAUGUCUUCCAACUGAUCUAAGCUUUUUGAAUUUACAUUUAAUCCAAUGCCAGAUUUGAACCUAACUGCUUUUGUUGUCUGAAUACAUAGUAUGGAGAGUUACUUUCUGUUUAUUUUUUCUUUGCUAAAAAAAUGGAAACUGCACAUACCACAUGUGUCUGCUAUGUCACCAAGCUUCUAGCUUUUUAUGACCGUGUUGCAAAACAAAUUCACUGUGUCUCUUCCUCGUGUUUCUGAGGACUACAAAGCAAAGGAAAUUCAGUAAACCAGUUAAACCUUUCUUGCAAGUUAGCUGCCAACCAACAGUUGCGGAAAGUCUUUUAAGUUAAUGACUUGCUGUAGCUUUAUUACAUGAGAGGGAUUUUCAGUUUUAACACGCAGCUAAAUGUUUUUUGAGCUCCUUCUUGUACUCUGUGGAGCAGAAAAUCCUCUUUAACCUCUGUAACCUCCAACUCAUCUUCUCCUCAGUUCUCCAGGCCAGCGCUCCACUCAUCCCUUCUCCUCCUAUCUUCUUCUUUCUCCUCCCAGCACUCUUCCAAGCGAACAGGUCCACUGAUCUCUAUUUGGCUAAUCGGAGCACACACAGACACAGAUGCACACACACAUUCGUCCCUCUGGUGUCCAGCAGUGAUUAAUUAACUCAGAUGCACAACUGACAUGAUUGAAAUAGUUGUGUGUGAGAAUGUGGGGGUUUUUUUUCAGUGUUUUUUUUUUUUCUUUAGAUGUGUCCACAGCUUAUUUGCAUAUAAACAAACUGCAACCUUUUUUGUAAUUACAUAAAUGUUUAUUUUGCCAACAUUUGCAUUCGGGUGUGAAAGCGUGGAUCUGUGUGUGUCACAUGAGUAAUAGACACUCUGUUGCUCCAGGUUAUGUUGCAAUGCUCACUGUUGUCACAAACUUUAAUAUGCACGGACAGCCAACGUAGUCGGUCAGACAUCUGCAAUUUAUUAAAACUGAUCACAGCGAGUUUUUCUUUUGUUUGAGCGUUGCUUUUUAUUCUGAUGCUUGUUUUUGCUUUUUAUCUGGAGGAAACCAAAUCAAAUAUUGAUUAUAAAAGAUAAAAAAGAAAUAAUACUAAUCAUAAUAAAAUUAAUAACGCUGGAAAGGGCAUCUGUCUGUACAAACUCAUUUGGCAAAACUCUGGGGCAAACCCUCAUGGGUCUGCAUUUACCUUUUGAUUCAAGGCAAAGAAUUUCUUUAAAACAUUUCUUUAAGUUGGCAGGAUCUAAUUUUAGAUGAUUAAUAGAUAAUUAAUAUGAAUAAUUUAGGAAAUUUAGUUGAUUGUGUCCUAUCUGUUACAGAAAUAUGUAUGUCCUCUGUCAGACCCAAAUAAAUCAUUUUUCU
rnacentral:lncRNA from 1 species